CGGCGUGCCUAACACAUGCAAGUCGAGCGGGGAUGUAAGGAAGCUUGCUUCUGAGCAUUCUAGCGGCGGACGGGUGAGUAACGCGUGAGCAACCUGCCUCGAACUGGGGGAUAACGCAUCGAAAGAUGUGCUAAUACCGCGUAAGACCACAGUGCCACAUGGUACAGGGGUCAAAGGAGCAAUCCGGUUUGAGAUGGGCUCGCGUCCGAUUAGCUAGUUGGUGAGAUAACAGCCCACCAAGGCGACGAUCGGUAGCCGACCUGAGAGGGUGAUCGGCCACAUUGGAACUGAGACACGGUCCAGACUCCUACGGGAGGCAGCAGUGGGGAAUAUUGGGCAAUGGGCGAAAGCCUGACCCAGCAACGCCGCGUGAGGGAAGAAGGGUUUCGGCUCGUAAACCUCUGUCCUAUGGGACGAAGAAGUGACGGUACCAUAGGAGGAAGCCCCGGCUAACUACGUGCCAGCAGCCGCGGUAAUACGUAGGGGGCGAGCGUUGUCCGGAAUGAUUGGGCGUAAAGGGCGCGUAGGCGGCUUGUUAAGCCUGGAGUGAAAGUCCUGCUUUCAAGGUGGGAAUUGCUUUGGGAACUGAUGAGCUCGAGUGCAGGAGAGGAAAGCGGAAUUACCGGUGUAGCGGUGAAAUGCGUAGAGAUCGGUAGGAACACCAGUGGCGAAGGCGCCUUUCUGGACUGUGUCUGACGCUGAGAUGCGAAAGCCAGGGUAGCGAACGGGAUUAGAUACCCCGGUAGUCCUGGCCGUAAACGAUGGGUACUAGGUGUAGGAGGUAUCGACCCCUCCUGUGCCGGAGUUAACGCAAUAAGUACCCCGCCUGGGGAGUACGUCGGCAACGAUGAAACUCAAAGGAAUUGACGGGGGCCCGCACAAGCGGUGGAGUAUGUGGUUUAAUUCGACGCAACGCGAAGAACCUUACCAAGGCUUGACAUUGAAUGACCACCUCAGAGAUGAGGUUUUCCCUUCGGGGACAUGAAAACAGGUGGUGCAUGGCUGUCGUCAGCUCGUGUCGUGAGAUGUUGGGUUAAGUCCCGCAACGAGCGCAACCCCUAUCCUAUGUUACCAGCACGUUAUGGUGGGGACUCAUAGGAGACUGCCAAGGACAACUUGGAGGAAGGCGGGGAUGACGUCAAGUCAUCAUGCCCCUUAUGUCUUGGGCUACACACGUACUACAAUGGUCGGCAACAGAGGGAAGCGAAGCCGCGAGGCAGAGCAAACCCCAGAAACCCGAUCUCAGUUCGGAUCGCAGGCUGCAACCCGCCUGCGUGAAGUCGGAAUCGCUAGUAAUCGCAGGUCAGCAUACUGCGGUGAAUACGUUCCCGGGCCUUG
rnacentral:rRNA from 1 species